UUUUUCUCACUAUAAGUAUCCUCUCCUUGUAGCCAUAGGUUUUUAUCUUCUCCAAGUCAUCACCACUAAUAAUUUUCAAACAUAAAUUUCUUUUUAUCAUCUUAAUCAGAAAACGAAGAUGAAGCUCGUGAUUGUAAGAUGUAUUGGGAGCCGCCAGUAGGAGUUCGCCCUAUUUCUUUUUCUCUCCCAAACAGCCGCCAGUAAAAGUUCAAGCUUUUUGAAGAUUUGCUUUUCCGGCGGUUGGCCUCUGCGCCUCCGUCCGGAGGGGCUCCCUCUCCUUUCUUCUUUUAUCGGCUCUCUUCUCUGUUUGCUCAGUUUUAGCAGGGAAGACGAGAGGUCAUAGGUUUGAAACAUACUUCCCGGUGAUAGUUGUGGCGGAUCUCUCCGGUGUAGACGUGUGGCGUACUUGGCGUCUCUCCGUCGGUUUCACUGCCUCUGUCGGUCUCAUCUCUUGUCCUCUUUCGGGAUGAGAUGGUGACAUCGUUAGUCCCCUCUGCUCUUUCACGGUGGAUGAGGGUUUGAGGACUACUUUCACAACCAGUCAGAUGCAGUGGAAAGGGCUUGCGGUUUCACCUCAGGUAGGUGGCAUAUGUCUUCGAUGCGUGUUGCUUCUCCUUCACAGGUGCGGCUUGGACGGAAGUCUUGGGUUUGGGCUCCUCCAGCGAGAGCUCUCACCGGCGACGGCUGGUGGUGGUGCUUCAACGAGGGUGGAUUUCAGAGGUCUGCCUUUGGUGUUUGCUCUCUGGGCCUUCUCAGAUCUGUAGGUUCCGGUGUGGCUCCUUCCGCUUCUUGUGUUGUAUGUGUUCUUUUCGGCUAGGUUUCAUAGGUACCUUCUGGUAUGGUUCAUCUUCGACUUUGAUUUGUUCCGUUCAAGCGCUGGUGGUGACAGUGUAGAAUAGAGGCUGCGAUUUAGCUUUGGCGACUCUGUUGCAUCUGUGGGAGAUGAUUCUCGAGGCUUCUAUAGCUUGAGGAAGUGGUUGGAGGCGGCUUCUCGAACUGCCCAUAGAAGCUCCCGUGCCGCCGGAUGUAACUUGUUGUUUGAAGUUGUCUCGUU
rnacentral:lncRNA from 1 species